GAUGAACGCUGGCGGCGUGCCUAAUACAUGCAAGUCGAGCGAACAGACGAGGAGCUUGCUCCUCUGACGUUAGCGGCGGACGGGUGAGUAACACGUGGAUAGCCUACCUAUAAGACUGGGAUAACUUCGGGAAACCGGAGCUAAUACCGGAUAAUAUAUUGAACCGCAUGGUUCAAUAGUGAAAGACGGUUUUGCUGUCACUUAUAGAUGGAUCCGCACCGCAUUAGCUAGUUGGUAAGGUAACGGCUUACCAAGGCAACGAUGCGUAGCCGACCUGAGAGGGUGGGAGGGCAGACUGGGGAUGAAACACGGUAAAGACAAAAACGGGAGGCAGCAGCAGGGAAUCGUCGGCGAUGGGCGAAAGACAGAAAAAGGAAGGUAGCGUGAGAGAAAAAAGGCGUAGGAAAAUAGAACGAUGUUGAUAGGGAAGAAAAAGAGUGGAAGUACCCAUAAAAGUCGUGACGGGACAAGAAGAGAAAGACGCGGCAAACUAAAUC
rnacentral:rRNA from 1 species